rnacentral:rRNA from 1 species
CCCCUAGAUGUUCUGGGCCGCACGCGCGCUACACUGAACAGUUCAACAAGUCUUAACCUUGGCCGAUAGGUCUGGGUAAUCUUUGAACGCUGUUCGUGAUUGGGAUAGACCUUUGCAAUUAUGGGUCUUCAACGAGGAGUUCCUAGUAAACGCAAGUCAUCAGCUUGCAUUGAUUACGUCCCUGCCCUUUGUACACACCGCCCGUCGCACCUACCGAUUGAAUGGUCCGGUGAAAUCUCGGGACGGCGGCUUGGUCGCUUGCGUCCGACUGCUGAAACUUGAUUAAACCAUAUCAUUUAGAGGAAGGUGAANUCGUANCA